AAACAAACUAAACUGUGAUUAGUUUCAUUUGAUUUGGUUUUUACAUAUAAAUAGUUUGGCUUGAAUUGAAAAAACAUGAUACUGAAGUUUUGGUUUAAAAAUUACUCUAAACUUCACCAAAUCAGACUGUUUAUUCCACUACACGCUAUAGCAUAAAACAAUUGUUUUACCUUAUGAAUUUCUAAAUUCUGCAUGGCUCAAUGAGGAAAAUUUUACGGUAUAAAAAAUAAUGCCAUUCCCUGCAUUAUCUGAACAGCUUCUUAUGU
rnacentral:misc_RNA from 1 species